rnacentral:rRNA from 1 species
ACAGAGGGUGCGAGCGUUGUCCGGAAUCACUGGGCGUAAAGGGCGCGUAGGCGGCCUGAUAAGUAGGGGGUGAAAUCUCGUGGCUCAACUGCGAGGCUGCCUCCUAAACUGUCGGGCUCGAGCACAGUAGAGGCAGGUGGAAUUCCCGGUGUAGCGGUGGAAUGCGUAGAGAUCGGGAAGAACAUCGGUGGCGAAGGCGGCCUGCUGGGCUGUCGCUGACGCUGAGGCGCGACAGCGUGGGGAGCAAACGGGA